rnacentral:piRNA from 1 species
GCAAACAUACAAGCAGUCUCACCUCAGGC